rnacentral:rRNA from 1 species
GCGAACGCUGGCGGCAGGCCUAACACAUGCAAGUCGAACGAACUCUUCGGAGUUAGUGGCGGACGGGUGAGUAACACGUGGGAACGUGCCUUUAGGUUCGGAAUAACUCAGGGAAACUUGUGCUAAUACCGAAUGUGCCCUUCGGGGGAAAGAUUUAUCGCCUUUAGAGCGGCCCGCGUCUGAUUAGCUAGUUGGUGAGGUAAAGGCUCACCAAGGCGACGAUCAGUAGCUGGUCUGAGAGGAUGAUCAGCCACAUUGGGACUGAGACACGGCCCAAACUCCUACGGGAGGCAGCAGUGGGGAAUCUUGCGCAAUGGGCGAAAGCCUGGCGCAGCCAUGCCGCGUGAAUGAUGAAGGUCUUAGGAUUGUAAAAUUCUUUCACCGGGGACGAUAAUGACGGUACCCGGAGAAGAAGCCCCGGCUAACUUCGUG